UAGGGGGCGAGCGUUGUCCGGAAUUACUGGGCGUAAAGAGAGCGUAGGCGGUACUGUAAGUUUCAUGUGAAAUACCCGGGCUUAACUUGGGGGUUGCAUGGAAAACUGCAGAGCUUGAGUACGGGAGAGGCAAGCGGAAUUCCUAGUGUAGCGGUGAAAUGCAUAGAUAUUAGGAGGAACACCAGUGGCGAAGGCGGCUUGCUGGACCGAAACUGACGCUGAGGCUCGAAAGCGUGGGGAGCAAAC
rnacentral:rRNA from 1 species